rnacentral:tRNA from 2 species
GGAGAGAUGCUAGAGUGGUUUAAUAGGCGGGCCUGGAAAGCUCGUGUUCCAAAUAAUAUUGGAACCGGGGGUUCGAAUCCCCCUCUCUCCGCCA